rnacentral:rRNA from 1 species
AGCGUAGGUGGCGAACGUUAUCCGGAAUUAUUGGGCGUAAAGGGUGCGUAGAUGGCCUGAUAAGUUAACAGUGGUAAAUCGAGGCUCAACCUCGUGGAAACUGAUAAUACUGUCUGGCUCGAGUACAGAAGAGGUUAACGGAAUUCCAUGUGGAGCGGUAAAAUGCAUAGAGAUCGGAAAGAACACCAACGGCGAAAGCACUCUGCUGGGCCGACACUGACACUGAGAGACGAAAGCUAGGGGAGCGAAUGGG